AUUGAACGCUGGCGGCAGGCCUAACACAUGCAAGUCGAGCGAGCGGCGGACGGGUGAGUAAUGUCUGGGAAACUGCCUGAUGGCGGGGGAUAACUACUGGAAACGGUAGCUAUUACCGCAUACCAUCAGAUGUGCCCAGAUGGGAUUAGCGAGUAGGUGGGGUAAAGGCGCACCUCGGCGACGAUACCUAGCUGGGCUGAGAGGAUGACCAGCCACACUGGAACUGAGACACGGUCCAGACUCCUACGGGAGGCAGCAGUGGGGAAUAUUGCACAAUGGGCGCAAGCCUGAUGCAGCCAUGCCGCGUGUGUGAAGAAGGCCUUCGGGUUGUAAAGCACUUUCAGCGGGGAGGCGUUACCCGCAGAAGAAGCACCGGCUAACUCCGUGCCAGCAGCCGCGGUAAUAC
rnacentral:rRNA from 1 species